rnacentral:misc_RNA from 1 species
AGAAAACUAGACCAGGUAAAGGUUUGCAUAUAGCAAAUUACACUACUCGAGAAUCUCUGCUAUAGUUAGCGCAGGUUCGUUGUUUGACCUUUUUCAAAAGUGAAUAAGACACACAGCCUUCCUCCUUUUGAUCUUACCACACAGCAAGGAGGGAAGCCGCCAGACAGGUUGCGAUGAUGAAACAGACUUCCCAGUCAAUAUCGGGUCACUUCGACCAAGGGCGCGCUACUCGAGUGGAAGUAAGGCAUCCGGAGACCCGGGAGUGACAUCAGUAUGGGUAGGAAACAGGCCCCAGCAUCAGCAGCUCCUCUCGUCAGAGUUGGCAGUCCUCAGCUUCAACAAUGACACCUCGCGGAACCACGUUCCUCUGGUACAGGCCCACAACACGCCAACAUCGUCACCAUCAUCGUCAUCAUCGUCCACGUCCCAACGCUAUCAUCAUUCCCACGUGACUCGCACAUCCUCCAUGCCCUCAGGCAGAGCCGCCUGGGCGCCAACUCUGAGACCUUCGGAAGCGUCCGCGAGGAGCCAAGGGUGCGGAUGACGCGUCGCUAGCGCUUUCAGCUGUGGCACCCGCCGUUCUUGACACCCGACAGAAGGCUCGUACCGACUACCCGUUGGCAACUCUAAGCCAGAGCAGCGAUCUGGCCCUUCCGGCAAAUCCGUAUGCAGUACCAGCCCCUUCGCCUGCAGCCUUGCUUGCCGCUUCAUAUUCUGCAGCAUUCACGAUGCCGCAGCAGCAGCCUUUAGUUGCACCUCAUCACCAAGUGCCGGUCUCGCCAUUCUGGGGCCAACAUCUGAAUCCCUUAACAGCAGGCAGCCAGGUUUUGCUGCCUACCUUACAGACUCCGCUGUCUACUCUGCAGACUCCAUUAACUGCUCUGCAGACGCCUUUACCUCCCUUGCAGACGACAUUAUCUCCCUUGCAGACGCCGUUACCUCCUUUGCCGGCGCCAUUACCUCCCUUGCAAACUCCGUUGUCAUCUGUCUUCUCGCCUUCCUUAGCGUCACAGUGGAACACCUCUCUUUCUCUCUCUUCAGUAUCUGGCUUGUCUCCCUUGCUGACAGGGGUGUCGCCACUAGUGCACAAUUCCCUCCAGGUGAGCACUCCUGGAGACGUCCUUAGCAACUCAACAGCUUCUCUUUUCAGCAGCCCCACAUCACCUCUUCUCAGCAGCCCCACAUCACCUCUUCUCAGCAGCCCCACAUCACCUCUUCUCAGUUCUACAGCGCCUAUGCUCAGCAGUUCUACAUCACUUCUCAGCGGUUCCACAGAGUCUCUACUUAGCAAUUCCACAGCAUCGCUUCUCGGAAAUUCUACAGUCGGUCUUAACCCUCGUCCUCAAGAACCCACGUAUACACACAGAUAUACUAUGCCCGGACGUUCACACCCUGGCCAAAAACAUGAACUUGCGGUACUUCGAUGACAGAGCAGCCCGAUGAUCAGGCCACCUCGGGAGUGGUUCGUCACUACCCUCCAGCACUUCCGGAUCGUCACCUACCUCCCCCUGUAGCGAGCCCUCCUACCCGCAAUUGACUGUUCGAGAACCCGAUCUACAACUUUUCGGUCAGCUUGACCUGCAGAUGCAGCACAGCAGCGUUGAGCCCUGCCUGCAGCUACCCGUCAACAAGGAGCUGUGUCUCAGAUGUGGCAAGAAGGUGUACGCGAUGGAGAAGGUCGGCCCGGUCAAGGACGUGCUGUACCACAAGACAUGCUUCACGUGCGCCGUGUGCCAAACGACCCUGAACCUGAAGAACUUCCACCACAGUGACGCUAAUAUGGAUGACCUGCACGUGUACUGUGCAUCUCACAAGCCUCAGGCUCGUUCUUACUCUGGGGACGCUAACACGGUUGGAAUUCAACGAGCUUUAACAGUUCCCAGACUUACCAGGAUCAAUGAACAGAUUCGUGGAGGUCCUGAAGCGAGCACGCGCGCCCAUCUAGACACCAACGCUUUCAGCAUCCGUUCAGCACUGCAGGUGCCAACCACAGAUUUGCAGACGUCCAUCAAGGUGCGGGAGGGAGCGUGGUACCGCGAACAGCGGAAGUCAGAGGGCAUGCCCCCGAACGAUGUCGUUCGACACGACGGAACAAUGCAGCGAUACGAAGGCACUAGGUCCUUGUACGACUAUCGAGAUAACAGCUAAGACGACAGUGGAUGCGAGAACCAUCAAAAUCGGUGUUAUCAACAUGUUUCACACAGAAAAGAGUGCAACGUGGAAGAAUACUCGCAUACGUGGUACUACUUGUCGUGUAUUCAUACAUUAGAAAUAUGGCUUCAUGCAAGAAAGGUCCUAAUCGACGAACAGAAAAUUUUUAAGAGGACAGAUUAGACAAUAUAAUUAAUAAUAUUACAUUAUUUGCACUGUUCAUUUUACGUGUAAGUGUAUGAGUACACAUAGGUUACAUAAUAGUAUACACGUUUCAUUAAGGAAAAGUGUAAUACAAGCCGCCAAAAGCUUUACAAUUCCUUUGAAACAUUCUAUACUUAGCUGUGAAUCUUCUAGUAAACCGCGCGCCUUAACACACCAUUUAAAUAAUGAGUCAAAUAAGGCUAAACUGCUUUAUCUGUCGUUGAAGACUCUCAUACUUUUUCGCCUGAUUUAAAAAAACUGAUAUCAACAAAAUUGUCAUCAUAAUCACAAUUAACCUACCUCUGCCCAUGAUACAUAAUCCAGCUGUUUUAGUUGUACAUUGUGUUUCGCUAAAAAUGUCCCGAUGCUGCUAAGCAACGCCAAUAAAGACAACUCAGUCA